GAUGAAGAACGCAGCGAAAUGCGAUAAGUAGUGUGAAUUGCAGAAUUCAGUGAAUCAUCGAAUCUUUGAACGCACAUUGCGCCCCUUGGUAUUCCAUGGGGCAUGCCUGUUCGAGCGUCAUUUGUACCUUCAAGCUUUGCUUGGUGUUGGGUGUUUGUCUCGCCUUUGCGUGUAGACUCGCCUUAAAAUAAUUGGCAGCCGGCGUAUUGGUUUCGGAGCGCAGUACAUCUCGCGCUUUGCACUCAUAACGACAGCGUCCAAAAGUACAUUUUACACUCUUGACCUCGGAUCAGGUAGGGAUACCCGCUGAACUUAAGCAUAUCAAUAAGCGGAGGA
rnacentral:misc_RNA from 1 species